UACGAAGGGGGGCUAGCGUUGCUCGGAAUCACUGGGCGUAAAGCGCACGUAGGCGGAUUGUUAAGUCAGGGGUGAAAUCCUGGAGCUCAACUCCAGAACUGCCUUUGAUACUGGCGAUCUCGAGUCCGGGAGAGGUGAGUGGAACUGCGAGUGUAGAGGUGAAAUGCGCAGAUAUCAGGAAGAACACCCGUGGCUAAGGCGGCUCUCUAGUACGGUACUGACGCUGAGACGCGAAAGCGUGGGGAGCGAACAGG
rnacentral:rRNA from 1 species